UGCCAUGUUGCCGUAGCUUAGCUUGCUACAUUUCCCAGGGCUGUAGCUUUAGUGUAGUUAAGCUUCAUUUAAAGAAGAGUAACUGUUAGCUUAGCUCACUACAUUUUCCAAGUAGCUUGCCCAAUACUGAGUAUUUAUUGUCACAAACAAUAUUACGUAGGCUAAACUAAUAUAUUGUUUGUAACAGCACUUUUCUAAUGACGAAACAGCCAUCAUUUCUACAUAGAAGUUCCUUGAUGAACCUGUUUAUCUCUUUUUAGGAUGACUUUGAGAACUUCUUUAAUGGAAAGAAUGCAUGCCCUUCAGUUCAACCAGUUAAAUCACCUCCAAUUAGUCUGAAAGUCAGCAACGAGGAUCAUUCUCAUUGGCUGUGUUGCUGCUGUUCAUGCUUGCACAUCAUGCUCAUGGGAACGACGGACGCAUGAAUGGGACGCAAGAGGUAGCUGAUAAACAUGACUGGUAAGGAAAUAUCGAGCUGUUUCCCAGAUGUUAUCAGAAGCAUUUUUCACGUGUUUAAAGUCACGUGGCAUAAAAGUAUGGUGGCCGAGAAGUGCAAAACAAUUCACAAUUCUGAAAACAAAACAACAAAUUACAAAUGCAAAUCUAAAAUAUAGCUGCAAGCAGCGACAGCGGGCCCAAGCCGUCAGUGCAAACGACACCCCAGUGGCAUCAGGAGAACGGUGCACAGCGGGCACAUGGAUUUACAGUAACCCUCUGGCAGGUUGGUUUUUAGAGACACGGCAAUGAAUGGGUUAAUCCAAACCAUCAAUUUAAGUGAUACAGCAAUGAAUGGGUUAAUCCAAACCAUCAAGCCUGUGAAACACACACACACACACACACACACACACAGAACAAUAUAUAAAAGUUUGGAAACACUUUACAAUAAGGUUUAAGUUAUUAACAUUAACUAUAUGAAUUAACAUGAACAAUAAUUAUAUAGUAUUUAUUCAUGUUAGCAGUGGUGGAGGUAACGAAUUACAACUACUCACGUUACUGUAAUUGAGUAGUUUUUUCGGGUACUUGUACUUUUUUGAGUAUAUUUUUAAAGCUGUACUUUUACUUGUACUUAAGUACAAAUUAAGCAAAAUAAUCUACUUCAUUACUUUUAAAAUCAUAGCUCGAGUACACCCACAAUUUGAAUUGAUAUUCAAACCUUUCACGAAACUUCAGUAGCCAAUAAACAUAUCCGAUCGUAAACGGACCAAUAAAAGCCCUGAUAUCUGAACCGGGUCCCGGGAAAAGCCGCCGCUGCAGCAGGUGAAGAUCUGAUCGGACAGUGAGGGAGCACAGCGUGAUUUAUGGACUCAAAGUUUGGAGAAACAAACUACAUGGUAGCGUUAUCAUAAAUAUCUAUAUUUUGAUAUCGAUAUUUAACUAUCUGACACGGUUCCAUUACUCAUUCUCCACAGUAUCUACCGUAUAUACACCGAUACACAUCCUCUCAGACAGCGAGUUUGACACGCAUAAGCCUCCUGUCAGUUACUGAGUCUGAAUGUCCGCGCGGGAUUGCAGAUGGUUCAUGCUGGCUUAACAGAAAAAUCAAAAGAAGAUGAUGUGCUUGAAGAGUAUGAAGCCACCAAUACAUGGGAGUCGUCCAACCUCAGUGCAGAGAGAUCAAUGUGCACUUGGAAUUGUGACUUUGACUUUGUCUUUGUCUCUGACCCAUUUUCUAGGGCAGUUUUGUGAUGCUGUAAAUAGGAGUGGAUAUCUUGCUUGGCUGAAAACUGCAGAGAAACGCAUCUCAUCGUGCUGAAAAAAAGAAUGAGAGUAUUCUCUCCAAGGAAGUCCAAACACCAGCAUAGACUUUGAUUAGUGAGCAUUAACAUGCAUUCAGCUUUUAUGAUAAUGAAUGGAAUGCUGUUGUUUCACCUCCUAAAUGUCAGCAUUAUAAACCUUAUGACAUCAAUGGACCAAAUAAGAAUGUUUUUUGUGUCUUUGCACUGAUUUGCUUCUACAUUAUGAUGUUUAAUUGUUGUAAGAACAUGUUCUUUACAUGCAUUGAAAACAUUGAGUGUGAAGACAUUUUGGUGUAGGGAAAAAAUAUUUACAAUGUUUCA